rnacentral:tRNA from 1 species
GGCCCCAUCGUCUAACGGUUUAGGACACUGCCUUCUCAAGGCAGUAAUAUGGGUUCGAAUCCCGUUGGGGCUA